UCGUUCUCUUUCUCUCAAUUUUCUUCCUAAAUCCUUUGAGCCUCUUUUUCUUUAUACAAUUCAUGACAAUUUUAGCCAAUCGAAAAUCUAUAUUUUAGGCUAUGGGAUUGGAAAAUAAAAUCAAGCAAUUAGGGAUGGAGGUGAUGUCUUGCUUACUACAAAUUUGAAACCUUGACGGGAUUUUAGCUCAGAUUAAACUCUGGGUCUUGUAUUGGAGGAGACAAAUUGAUGCCAAUAUGGAUAGUAAAGUACCGUCUAACGAGGUUCCCAUCGAGCAAACUCGCGAGUCACUUAUCGCUAUAUCGUAUACGGCACCAGAUAUGUCCCCAAAUACGGAUCAUGCAUCUCGAAACAUAGAUGGUGCAAAGACUGAUGGAACUGAAAAGUGUAGGUCUGAAUUGAUUUCUAUAUCCUAUGACCAUUCUCCUGAUGUUCAAGAGCCCCCUAUCCUGCUUGGUACCCAUGUUGGUCAAUGAAGACUCAAAUUGUAAUGGGACAAAUUUUAUAACAUUAACAUGCCUAUUGUUGGUAUGUUUUGCAAUAAUUCUUUCCAUGUAAGUGUAAAUAAGUAAACACAUUUUUUGUACAAACCAUGUUGUGAUUGAAGUGAAAGAUAUAUAAUUUUCUUUGUUUGUA